UACAGAGGGGGCAAGCGUUGUUCGGAAUUACUGGGCGUAAAGGGCGCGUAGGCGGUCUUCUAAGUUUGAUGUGAAAUCCCGGGGCUCAACCCUGGAAUUGCAUUGAAUACUGGAGGACUAGAGUACCGGAGAGGAAACUGGAAUUUACGGUGUAGCAGUGAAAUGCGUAGAGAUCGUAAGGAAGACCAGUGGCGAAGGCGAGUUUCUGGACGGUAACUGACGCUGAGGCACGAAGGCCAGGGGAGCAAACGGG
rnacentral:rRNA from 1 species